GGAUAUGAGGUGAUCUGACUGCGAUAUUUGUCACCCAGUGAUUACUAGGGUUGAUGCCAGAUGAUGCCUUCCCCCCUCAUGGCACCAUGAACAUCCCUUCCAAAGCUGCCUGCCCAGUCAAAAAGGACAAUUUACCCCAAAGAGGAGGACCGGUCUUCAGUCAAGGGGUAUAUAAGUAGCAAUUCUCUCCUGUUAGAACCUCCAAAAAAAGUUCUCAGGAACAGCCAGGGUUACAUAGUAAGUUCCAGGCUAGUCUAGACCACAUAACCCUAGAGGGAG
rnacentral:snRNA from 1 species